GCUUUACAGGGUAGGUAUUCUCUGUUGCAGCCACUCAACUCUAGUGUUUAGUGCAAAACUGACCACUGAAAAUAUGCCAUACCAAACAGGUGCUGGACCAGACCUGGACUCCCUGGGGCCACAGAGCUUCAUUUGAACUAAGUAGAAGACUGCUCUGGUUAGGGAGGCAAUCGGUAAAGAAAAUGAAGCAUCCAUCUAGCAUCAUCCCACUGGGAGGAAAGAAGGAGACCAAAAGAAGGUAAACAAUAGCAAAAAAAUCUCUGAAGGAGUAAAUCAAGAUGGAGUUGAUGGAUAAGGAGGAAUAAAACUACUCCAAUUAUCUGGAACUUACACUAAAUGAAAAGCAAGUCUCCAAGAUAGAAGCUGAGCAUGACAAACAAAUGCUGACAAUAUCAGGUAGUGCUUCAGUUCAACUAUGAGGGAUUCUUUCUCCCACAACUUCCCUACUCCAGGAACUUGGAAAGUGGAUCAUCUCUGACAGCUAAAUUCCAAAACAAACACUUAGCAGAUUGGAACAUAAUUAUGCCAAUUUAUUAUCAAAAGCCAGAAUAGCUCUCAGGACAGCAAUACCUGAUUAAAAUUAGAAAGAUGCUGGACUACCUUAGAAACAGUGUGUCAAGAAGAAGGAGAAUGAUCAGUAAUGCAAACAGAGAAAAGAGCAAGUGAGGAGCAAAUUUUGGCCAUGUCUUCUGCCCUGUGCACAGAUGUUCUAUCACCAGAGAGCAGAAACCUGGUCAUGGGGCAGGAUGUCCCAUUAAGGGAAUGAGCUCAUGGGGCGGCCACAUCAGCCUCCUCUUGCUAAGAGUGCCUGCUCCCUGAGACGCUCCUGAUGGUAAUUUGGCUUCCACGAAGACUUGUCUGCAAAUAGAGAAUAAGCUGUGCAGCGGAGCAAAUUAUCUACUCUGCUUUGAGUUCUUAUU
rnacentral:lncRNA from 1 species